UCCGCCUUGGAGGCGGCAGUCUCCUAUGAAAAAACAACAUAGGAUGAGGGUUGCGCUCGUUGGCUGACUUAACAGUACACCUCAAGGCACGAGCUGACGACGACCGUGCAUCGCCUGUCUCUUGGUUCCUUACGGCACUCCUACAUUUCUGCGGGAUUCCAAGGAUGUCAAGUCUGGGUGAGGUGCUUCGGUUAUCAUCGAAUUAAACCCCAUGCUCCACCGCUUGUGUGGGUCCCCGUCUAUUCCUUUGAGUUUUAGCCUUGCGGCCGUACUUCCCAGGCGGCGUGCUUACCGCGUUAGCUAAGGCACAGAAGAAAAUUGAAUCUCCUACACCGAGCACGCAUAGUUUAGGGCGUGGACUAC
rnacentral:misc_RNA from 1 species